GAAAUAUACGGGCCAAUUUGGCCCCAUGAGGUCGUUUUGGAUUUUGAAAUUGCUAGCCAUAUUGGCUAACAAUGAGAGCUAAAACAGACAAGAGGGGCCGUUUUGGCUCCAUGAGGGUUGUUUUUGCUCUACAACUGGUGCCAAAUUGGUUCGAGAGCAACUUGAUGACUGCAUCGAAUCGGGUGACACAAUACAAAUAUGGCGGCCAACUAUUUCAUGAUGCACGCGCGUUUCGAUUGCUGUUUUCACUAUGAUAACGGCCGUAGAUGACUAUGAUAUUGCAGGAAAAAUAAUAUUCUAUUAUCAUUCAAAGUAUAGAGUUUUUGAAGACGACCAUUUGCUUUGUUUGUAAUGGUUUUUAAAGUGAUUCAAUUGUCGUAGGAGUGAACGGCAGAAAACAAAUUAUGUCAGUCUAGUCGUAACAUUUGCACCGAACUUCUUGCAAUGCCUUCAUUUAAAGAUUUAACCACCUCUGAAUUGUCCACGUUAUUGAAAAAGAAUGGAGUGGAUAAUGAAGUCAUUGAAAAAUUUCAAGGGUACUGACAAGAAAGCAUCAGAUACGUCAUUACGAUCUUGAAAAAGCUGAAGAAACCGUCGCGUCUAAAACAGCGCAGAAGGAUGAAUUAUUGAAAGUGACAGAGGAUGGCGAAGAAGGAAAGAAAAGUGGUUUGUGGAAAGGACUUUCUUCAAAAAUAUUUGGUGGCGACAAUCCCGAGGCGCGGGAAGCCAAACUUCAAACUUUAGAAUUUCAAAUUGAAGAAUCAGAAAAUGCUGUCACUGAUGCGCAACAAGAGAUGAGUUCAUUCACUAAAAUGGCGGACAAAGAUUAUGAACAAUUUCAGAAACAGCGUGACAGUGACGUGAAGAAUAUUUUGAUCUAACACAUAAAAACACAGUUAAAGUUGUGCAAACUGGGAAUAUCAACUUGGGAAAACAUGAGUCUUACACUUGCACAUUCAAAGUUUUACACUUGCACAUUCAAUUUUCUCGAUUUUGGUAAUGGUGCGAAAAAUUUCCAUUUAGCCACAAUAAUUUUAUUUUGGUCCAAUCGUGUUAUUAGUGAUAUAUUCAAUUGUAAUUUGGAAUAAAUUUGUGUAGAUGUGAUUAUUUUCAAUUAACGAUUACAUUACCUAAUUGUGCAUGUAUAAUUUUCUAUGCUGUUGUUUCUUUGUAAUAAAAACCAAAAGAAAAUUGUUAAAUACAAAAAUUGACGUCAAAA